rnacentral:rRNA from 1 species
GUCCACGCCCUAAACGAUGCGAGCUGGAUGUCGGAGGGCUUGCCCUUCGGUGUCGGAGCUAACGUGUUAAGCUCGCCGCCUGGGGAGUACGGCCGCAAGGUUAAAACUCAAAGGAAUUGACGGGGGCCCGCACAAGCGGUGGAGCAUGUGGUUUAAUUCUACGCAACGCGCAGAACCUUACCAGCUCUUGACAUGGCGGCCGUUGCCCGGAGCGAUCCGGGAGUCCCGCAAGGGGGCCGUCACAGGUGCUGCAUGGCUGUCGU